rnacentral:rRNA from 1 species
AGUGGGGAAUAUUGCACAAUGAGGGAAACCUUGAUGCAGCCAUGCCGCGUGUGUGAAGAAGGCCCGAGGGUUGUAAAGCACUUUCAAUUGUGAGGAAGAUUAAGUAGCUAAUAUCUGCUUAAUUUGACGUUAACUUUAGAAGAAGCACCGGCUAACUCUGUGCCAGCAGCCGCGGUAAUACAGAGGGUGCAAGCGUUAUUCGGAAUUACUGGGCGUAAAGCGCGCGUAGGCGGACUGUUAAGUCGGUUGUGAAAGCCCUGGGCUCAACCUAGGAACUGCAUCCGAUACUGGCAAUCUAGAGUUUAAGAGAGGGAAGUGGAAUUCCAGGUGUAGCAGUGAAAUGCGUAGAUAUCUGGAGGAACAUCAGUGGCGAAGGCGACUUCCUGGCUUAAAACUGACGCUGAGGUGCGAAAGCUUGGGUAGCGAACGGGAUUAGAUACCCCGGUAUUCCAAGCCGUAAACGAUGUCAACUAGCUGUUGGUCUUAUUAAAAAGAUUAGUAGCGUAGCUAACGCGAUAAGUUGACCGCCUGGGGAGUACGGUCGCAAGAUUAAAACUCAAAGGAAUUGACGGGGGCCCGCACAAGCGGUGGAGCAUGUGGUUUAAUUCGAUGCAACGCGAAGAACCUUACCAUCCCUUGACAUCCUGCGAACUUUCUAGAGAUAGAUUGGUGCCUUCGGGAACGCAGUGACAGGUGCUGCAUGGCUGUCGUCAGCUCGUGUCGUGAGAUGUUGGGUUAAGUCCCGCAACGAGCGCAACCCUUAUCAUUAGUUGCUAACAUUUAGUUGAGAACUCUAAUGAGACUGCCGGUGAUAAACCGGAGGAAGGCGGGGACGACGUCAAGUCAUCAUGGCCCUUAUGGGAUGGGCUACACACGUGCUACAAUGGGGGGUACAAAGAGCAGCCAACUGGCGACAGUGCGCGAAUCUCAUAAAACCUCUCGUAGUCCGGAUCGGAGUCUGCAACUCGACUCCGUGAAGUCGGAAUCGCUAGUAAUCGUGAAUCAGAAGGUCACGGUGAAUACGU